rnacentral:rRNA from 1 species
AGAGUUUGAUCCUGGCUCAGAACGAACGCUGGCGGUAUGCUUAACACAUGCAAGUCGAACGAACAAAAUUGGAGCUUGCUCCAAUUUUAGUGAGUGGCAAACGGGUGAGUAACACGUGGGAAUCUACCUAUCAGUACGGAAUAACAUUUGGAAACAGAUGCUAAUACCGUAUAUUCUCCAAGGAGGAAAGAUUUAUCGCUGAUAGAUGAGCCCGCGUAAGANUNGGUAGUUGGUAGGGUAAUGGCCUACCAAGCCGACGAUCUUUAGCUGGUCUGAGAGGAUGAUCAGCCACACUGGGACUGAGACACGGCCCAGACUCCUACGGGAGGCAGCAGUGGGGAAUAUUGGACAAUGGGCGAAAGCCUGAUCCAGCAAUACCGCGUGAAUGAUGAAGGCCUUAGGGUUGUAAAGUUCUUUUAGUUGGAAAGAUAAUGACGGUACCAACAGAAAAAGCCCCGGCUAACUCCGUGCCAGCCGCCGCGGU